GCCGGGCGUGGUGGCGAGUGCCUGUAAUCCCAGCUACUAGGGAGGCUGAGGCAGGGGAAUUGCUUGAAUCCGGGAGGUGGAAGUUGCAGUGAGCAGAGAUUGCACCACUGUACUCCAGCCUGGGCAACAGAGCGAGACUCUGUCUCAA
rnacentral:sRNA from 1 species